UACGUAGGGUGCGAGCGUUAAUCGGAAUUACUGGGCGUAAAGAGUGCGUAGGCGGUCCCGCAAGUCCGCUGUGAAAGCCCCGGGCUUAACCUGGGAAUGGCAGUGGAAACUAUGGGACUUGAAUCUGGCAGAGGGGGGUGGAAUGCCACGUGUAGCAGUGAAAUGCGUAGAGAUGUGGAGGAAUACCGAUGGCGAAGGCAGCCUCCUGGGCCAACACUGACGCUCAUGCACGAAAGCGUGGGGAGCAAACAGG
rnacentral:rRNA from 1 species